UCAACUGGUAGCAGCGAUAGCAUCUGGACAACUCUUGGGUCAAGAAGGAAUAUGGGUUCGACCCUGCGCAGGAACUACCGAAAUAACAGAUCGGCCAUUACAUCGCCCAAUACAUCGACCCAGACGCUCUCAUCACUUGAGAUCGGAACUUCUACUCUUGAAACUGAAGACGGAGUCUGCAGCGAGUCUUUGCGGUGAACUCAGGAACAGAAUUACACGCAUCAUCCUUCCAUCUACUGCCAAUGUACUCAACAACUACCCGUCCUUGACUGGCUUCCCCGACACUCAGACAUCAGACAGGGUUGAGAGAAAUAUGAAACAGUUGCUGUUGUGGGAUGUCCAGAGACUGGCGCAAGUUGGUGUAUUCCUGGAACAGAUUCUCACGGAAUAUGUUGACUAUAUUGACGAGCUGCGCCAACUGGAAACCAAGUAUCGGGAAACCAAAUGUCAGGUCCAUCGUCUACUUGACAUGGUGGGACAGGAAGUGACCUCACAUGUGUCACGUGACAUCAUGCCUGAUAAUUUGCGAAAUAUGUCUGAGUAUGUUCAUCGCAAUAAUCGUAACUACCUGAUUGUUAGGGACAUGCAUUCUGUAUUUGAUUCUAUUGCCAGGAGAACUGGGCGGUUUGUAAUGCAACAUUUCAUCUAAAUUAAGGAGUAAAUGAAAUUAUAUGUCUGAGUUCACAAUAUUUUAGUGAAUGAAAAUAUCGUAGCAAAUAACUGACUACAUACAACAACAAAACAAAUAAGCACUCAGAACAAACUGCUGCUGAUCAUAGACAUCGUG